ACAAUGGGCGCAAGCCUGAUGCAGCCAUGCCGCGUGUAUGAAGAAGGCCUUCGGGUUGUAAAGUACUUUCAGCGGGGAGGAAGGCGGUGCGGUUAAUAACCGCGUCGAUUGACGUUACCCGCAGAAGAAGCACCGGCUAACUCC
rnacentral:rRNA from 1 species